AAAUCUGGAAACAAAACCCUGAAAUAAACUCUGUUUGCAUCAUUUGUAUCGAUUCCCUGUCCGAGAUAAAGCUGUCAAUCUUCUCUGGAGGAGGAGGAAUAUGUUCUGAUCUGCAUGGUUCCACAGCUGGAAAUUCUGACAUGUUGAACAGAUGUGACCUCUUAUCAGUUCCUUGAAAGUGCAUCCAGAAAUCUGCAGAAAAAAACGGCUGGUUUUGUGGGGGAUUAUUUUUGAAAAAGAAAUCUUACUUGGUUGGGGGGAAAAAAACCCUCUGAAAUACGUCAAAGAACACAGACAGAGGCAGUGGGAGCCUGCUCUGGAAAAACUGAGUAUCUAAGCGGUAAAAGUUGGUGAAUUGUCAAAAAGCUCAUUUUCAGAGCUAGGAGGAAUUUUGAAAUACCUUCUGCAGGUGUGCGGUCACUGGUGUGGAUUUGAAAGGAAAGAAAGGAUGAAAAAGGGACCCCUUCUCUCCGUUGCUAUUUGGCCACAAAUAACAUUUCUGCUACUUAACAAAUUUUGUAUUAGUUCUGUUCAAUCAAGGCUGGAGCUGUCACUGGGAUAACAUUGCUCUAAGCCUGAAAAGGUGUUCUGGUUUGGGUUU